UACGUAGGGUGCGAGCGUUGUCCGGAAUUAUUGGGCGUAAAGGGCUCGUAGGCGGUUUGUCACGUCAGGAGUGAAAACUCGGGGCUUAACCCCGAGCCUGCUUCUGAUACGGGCAGACUAGAGGUAUGCAGGGGAGAACGGAAUUCCUGGUGUAGCGGUGAAAUGCGCAGAUAUCAGGAGGAACACCGGUGGCGAAGGCGGGUCUCUGGGCCGAUACUGACGCUGAGGAGCGAAAGCGUGGGGAGCGAACAGG
rnacentral:rRNA from 1 species